GACGAACGCUGGCGGCGUGCUUAACACAUGCAAGUCGAGCGGUAAGGCCCUUUCGGGGGUACACGAGCGGCGAACGGGUGAGUAACACGUGGGUGACCUGCCCUCAGCUCUGGGAUAAGCCUGGGAAACCGGGCCUAAUACCGGAUAUGACUCCAUGACGCAUGUUGUGGGGUGGAAAGCCUUGUGCGGCUGAGGAUGGGCCCGCGGCCUAUCAGCUUGUUGGUGGGGUGAUGGCCUACCAAGGCGACGACGGGUAGCCGGCCUGAGAGGGCGACCGGCCACACUGGGACUGAGACACGGCCCAGACUCCUACGGGAGGCAGCAGUGGGGAAUCUUGCGCAAUGGGCGAAAGCCUGACGCAGCGACGCCGCGUGGGGAUGAAGGUC
rnacentral:rRNA from 1 species